rnacentral:rRNA from 1 species
AACGAACGCUGGCGGCACGCUUCAUACAUGCAAGUCGAGCGGGCAGUAGCAAUACUGUCAGCGGCGAACGGGUGAGUAACACGUGGAUAACCUGCCUCUUUGUGGGGGACAACAGCUGGAAACGGCUGCUAAUACCGCAUGUGAUUUUCUGGUCUCAUGAUCGGAAAAGGAAAGGCGCCUUCAAGCGCCGCAAGGAGAUGGGUCCGCGCCCCAUAGCUAGUUGGUGAGAUAAUAGCCCACCAAGGCUUCGAUGGGUAGCCGAGCUGAGAGGUUGAUCGGCCACACUGGAACUGAGACACGGUCAGACACCUACGGCGGCAGCAGUAGGGAAUAUUGCACAAUGGGCGAAAGCCUGAUGCAGCGAUGCCGCGUGAGUGAUGAAGGCC